rnacentral:lncRNA from 1 species
UCAACUUAAUCAGUCCGUACAAUUUUACAUGAACAUGAAACCAUUUACGUUGCUUAAAAAUUUGAUCGAAUGUAUUGACUGACAAUGGAUCAAAAUGAACCCAGACCUUGACUAAUCUAUUUAAAAGGGCCGUGAUUUAAAUGAACAAAUUUAAACGGUUGAGCCCAGUUCCGCUUGGCCCAAUAUUUAAAACAAAAUCAGCGAGCCUCGGAAGAGAUACAUGUUCUCCCUUUAG